rnacentral:rRNA from 1 species
CCUACGGGCGGCUGCAGUGAGGAAUAUUGGUCAAUGGACGGAAGUCUGAACCAGCCAUGCCGCGUGCAGGAAGACGGCCCUAUGAGUUGUAAACUGCUUUUGUACAAGGGUAAACCUGAAUACGUGUAUUCAGCUGAAUGUACUUUACGAAUAAGGAUCGGCUAACUCCGUGCCAGCAGCCGCGGUAAUACGGAGGAUCCAAGCGUUAUCCGGAUUUAUUGGGUUUAAAGGGUGCGUAGGCGGAUUGUUAAGUUAGAGGUGAAAUGUCCGAGCUUAACUCGGGAACUGCCUGUAAUACUGGUGGUCUAGAGAGUAGAUGCGGUAGGCGGAAUGUAUGGUGUAGCGGUGAAAUGCUUAGAGAUCAUACAGAACACCGAUUGCGAAGGCAGCUUACCAAUCUAUAUCUGACGUUGAGGCACGAAAGCGUGGGGAGCAAACAGGAUUAGAUACCCCAGUAGUC